ensembl:lncRNA
GCAGGCUUGGCAGAGGCAGGGCCACUGUACAGGUUAAUCUAGCACCAGCUAGCAUGACAAACAGGUACAUGAUCAGAUACAUGAGUAUGACAAUUAAUGCACUUACGUUGGGCAGAGCGCCUCUUAAAGAACAGCAGUGCAGCAAGGAGUCCAAUGAUCAGAGAGCCUAUGACUGCAACCGGGGCUAGCCAUUUGGUGGUGGAGACAAUAUCCAAGUGGUCACUUUUAAUACCUGGACAGACAAAAUGGACAGAAAUUAGGAGUUACAAAAUAAAUAGGCAAUUCAUAUGAAGUCAAGAGAAAAAGUGUCACGACUUCCGCCGAAGUCGGCCCUUCUCCUUGUUCGGGUGGUGUUCGGCGGUCGACGUCACCGGCUUUCUAGUCACUACCGAUCCAUUUUUCUGUUUCGUUUUGUUUCGUCUGAUUACAUACACACAUGUUUUACAUUCCCUCCUUCUGUUCUGUCCGUGAUUGUUUAUGUCGUUGUGUUCGUGUUAGAGUUUUGUUUUAUGUUCCAUUUUGGAAUUUUGCUUUAUUCUUUAAGUAAAUUCAGUUGGAUUACUCCAUACCUGCGCCUGACUCCGCUUUCACUCUGCACCCAAUCGCUGACAGAAUCACGGACCAUUCAAAUGGAAUCAGCAGGUACAGCCAGCCCUUCUCUCCCAGUAGAGGAGCGAGUUCAGCAGCACGCGACCAUGUUAAACCGGCUAGGGCCAGCCAUGGAUCGCAUGUUGUAAACUAUGGACAGAUGGGAGAGGAGGCUUUCCUGUCAACGCUACUACACCUCCACCCGCGCCUCAACCUACACCGAUGUCCACCCCUCUGUCGUCAAGUCCCCGUGGAAUUCAGGCUCUUGCUCACAGGAGCCAGGGUAUCCUACUCCAGCUGGAGCUCUACCUGGCAGCUCUUCAGCCGGCACCUUCCGGACGUGAGAGAGUGGGCGCUCUCAUCUCCUGCCUGACUGGAAAAGCCCUGGAGUGGGCCAACGCCAUCUGGGGAAGGGAAGGUCCGACUCUGGAUGACUAUGAGGACUUCUCCCUCCGCUUCCAUCUGGGGAAGAGAAGGACCGACUCUGGAUGACUAUGAGGUCUUCUCCCUCCGCUUCCAUCUGGGGAAGGGAAGGACCGACUCUGGAUGACUAUGAGGACUUCUCCCUCCGCUUCCAUCUGGGGAAGGGAAGGACCGACUCUGGAUGACUAUGAGGAUUUCUCCAUCCGCUUCCAUCUGGGGAAGGGAAGGUCCGACUCUGGAUGACUAUGAGGACUUCUCCCUCCGCUUCCAUCUGGGGAAGGGAAGGUCCGACUCUGGAUGACUACAGGACUUCUCCCGCCGCUUCCAUCUGGGGAAGGGAAGGACCGACUCUGGAUGACUAUGAGGACUUCUCCCUUUGUUUCAUCUAAGAGUUUGUUUCAUCUAAGAAAGGAGAUGAGGAGCGCUCAAGAGUUCGCACUGGACUUCCGCACUGGACUCUGGCAGCUGGUGCGGGAUGGAAUGAGCGGGCCCUGAUCGACCACUACAGGUGUAGUUUACGUGAGGACGUUCGAAUGGAGCUAGCCUGCAGGGACACUACUCUCAACCUGGACCAGCUGGUGGACUUGUCUAUCCGGCUGGAUAACCUGUUGGCCUCCCGUGGACGUCUGGAUUGGGGUCCGCCCGUUCCAUUACCCAGCACAUUGGAUCCCACACCUAUGGAGCUACGAGGGGGACCGGAGGGGGGACCAUUCCCUGCACCAGCUGUGGCCGCAGAGGGCACACUGCUGGUCGGUGCUGAGGGGGUUCUCCAGGAGGUCGAGGUAGCAGGCGGAGCACUGGUGGGUCAUCCCAGGUGAGUAGGCACACAACUCACCCAAAGCCCCCUGUUGCACACAUGUGGUUACCUGUAGAAUUUCCUGAGUUCUCCCCACAUUCCCAGCAUAAGGAGCUAGUAGAUUCAGGCGCAGCUGGGAACUUUAUUGACCGCUCCUUAGCACAUAGAUUAGGGAUCCCUAUUGUUCCUGUUGAUGUUCCUUUCCCUGUACAUGCCUUAGAUAGUCGUCCUUUGGGGUCAGGGCUAAUUGGCGAGGGGAUUGUGCGAUAGAUCUCUUGGUAGAUGCUGCACAUCCCAGGAGUCAUGUGUAUCCUCUGUCACAGGAGGAGACGGUGGCUAUGGAGACAUAUGUCACCGAAUCUCUGGGACAGGGAUACAUUCAACCUUCCAUCUCACCUGUCUCCUCAAGUUUAUUUUUUGUGAAGGAUGGAGGUUUGCGCCUGUGUAUUGAUUAUCGAGGUUUAAAUAAGAUCACGGUAAAAUACAGUUACCAGCUAACGCUCAUAGCCAG